rnacentral:rRNA from 1 species
UAGUCCACGCCCUAAACGAUGAUAACUCGUUGUUGGCAAUACAUCGUCAGCGACUAAGCGAAAGCAUUAAGUUAUCCACCUGGGGAGUACGACCGCAAGGUUGAAACUCAAAGGAAUUGACGGGGGCCCGCACAAGCGGAGGAGCAUGUGGUUUAAUUCGAUGAUACGCGAGGAACCUUACCUGGGCUUGAAAGUUAGUGACCGCUCCUGAAAGGGAGCCUUCCGCAAGGACACGAAACUAGGUGCUGCAUGGCUGUCGUCAGCUCGUGCCGUGAGGUGUUGGGUUAAGUCCCGUAACGAGCGCAACCCCUAUCAUUAGUUGCCAUCAGGUUAAGCUGGGGACUCUAAUGAGACUGCCCGCGCAAGCGGUGAGGAAGGUGGGGACGACGUCAAGUCAUCACGGCCCUUACGUCCAGGGCUACACACGUGCUACAAUGGCAGAUACAGCAGGUUGCGACAUGGUAACAUGAAGCUAAUCCCAAAAGUCUGUCUCAGUUCGGAUUG